UUGGGGUGGGGGUGGAGAGUAGUUCUGGGAAAUGUUUUCCCUCUCUUAAGAAGAACUCUUUUCUUCCUCUGGACAUCAUGACUUUAGGAUAUGAUACCUGGAACUGCAAUUACCAUCUUGCUAUUAUUAGCUGGAGAAGGAUGCCAGCACCCAAAGACAAUCAGAGCAGAGAUGGCAACAACCUGGUUUUUGAUAUUAUCAAGCUCCUGACUUUUUCAAACCUGAAGUUUACUCUGCUUUGUAUUUCCAGAUUGAGUCCUGUGGGUAAUAGCCACUGAAUACUUUUUGGAUCACUAAAUAUGGAAAUCACAUUUACCAAAUAUGGGGAAGUUGAACAAAUAUAUCUUUAAGAAGAUAGAAACAGAAGUCUCCCCCCGCCCCAAGUUAAAGUGCCUUUGGCUCUGCUUCUAGGACUUCUAGGAACGUGCAAUUAAAAUAAAAUCGAAACAACAAAACCCUUGCA
rnacentral:lncRNA from 1 species